rnacentral:rRNA from 1 species
UACGUAGGGUGCGAGCGUUGUCCGGAUUUACUGGGCGUAAAGGGCGCGUAGGCGGGCACGUAAGUCAGGGGUGAAAGCCCACGGCUCAACCGUGGAAGGGCCUUUGAUACUGCGUGCCUGGAGGGAGGUAGGGGCGUGCGGAACUUCCGGUGGAGCGGUGAAAUGCGUAGAUAUCGGAAAGAACACCAACGGCGAAAGCACUCUGCUGGGCCGACACUGACACUGAGAGACGAAAGCUAGGGGAGCGAAUGGG